GUUGCUUCGGCGGCGCGGCCCCCCUCACGGGGUGCCGCAGCCCCGCCUCUCAGGAGGUACGGGGCGCCCGCCGGAGGUACGAAACUCUGUAUUAUAGUGGCAUCUCUGAGUAAAAACAAAUAAGUUAAAACUUUCAACAACGGAUCUCUUGGUUCUGGCAUCGAUGAAGAACGCAGCGAAAUGCGAUAAGUAAUGUGAAUUGCAGAAUUCAGUGAAUCAUCGAAUCUUUGAACGCACAUUGCGCCCGCUAGUACUCUAGCGGGCAUGCCUGUUCGAGCGUCAUUUCAACCCUCAAGCUCUGCUUGGUGUUGGGGCCCUACGUCUGACGUAGGCCCUGAAAAGAAGUGGCGGGCUCGCUACAACUCCGAGCGUAGUAAUUCAUUAUCUCGCUAGGGAAGUGUGGCCUGCUCCUGCCGUUAAAGACCCCAUCUUUAACCAAGGUUGACCUCGGAUCAGGUAGGAAUACCCGCUGAACUUAAGCAUAUCAAUA
rnacentral:rRNA from 1 species